rnacentral:rRNA from 1 species
GAUGAACGCUGGCGGCGUGCCUAAUACAUGCAAGUCGAGCGAACAGACGAGGAGCUUGCUCCUCUGACGUUAGCGGCGGACGGGUGAGUAACACGUGGAUAACCUACCUAUAAGACUGGGAUAACUUCGGGAAACCGGAGCUAAUACCGGAUAAUAUAUUGAACCGCAUGGUUCAAUAGUGAAAGACGGUUUUGCUGUCACUUAUAGAUGGAUCCGCGCCGCAUUAGCUAGUUGGUAAGGUAACGGCUUACCAAGGCAACGAUGCGUAGCCGACCUGAGGGGGUGAUCGGCCACACUGGAACUGAGACACGGUCCAGACUCCUACGAGAGGCAGCAGUAGGGAAUCUUCCGCAAUGGGCGAAAGCCUGACGAAGCAACGCCGCGUGAGUGAUGAAGGUCUUCGGAUCGUAAAACUCUGUUAUUAGGGAAGAACAAAUGUGUAAGUAACUAUGCACGUCUUGACGGUACCUAAUCAGAAAGCCACGGCUAACUACGUG